rnacentral:rRNA from 1 species
AUUGAGCGCUGGCGGCAUGCCUUACACAUGCAAGUCGAACGGCAGCACGGGAGCAAUCCUGGUGGCGAGUGGCGAACGGGUGAGUAAAGUAUCGGAACGUGCCCAGUCGUGGUGGAUAGCGUAGCGAAAGUUACGCUAAUACCGCAUACGAUCUAUGGAUGAAAGCGGGGGAUCGCAAGACCUCGCGCGAUUGGAGCGGCCGAUAUCAGAUUAGGUAGUUGGUGGGGUAAAGGCUCACCAAGCCGACGAUCUGUAGCUGGUCUGAGAGGACGACCAGCCACACUGGGACUGAGACACGGCCCAGACUCCUACGGGAGGCAGCGGUGGGGAAUUUUGGACAAUGGGCGCAAGCCUGAUCCAGCCAUGCCGCGUGCAGGAUGAAGGCCUUCGGGUUGUAAACUGCUUUUGUACGGAACGAAAAGGUUUGGCUUAAUACGUUGAACCCAUGACGGUACCGUAAGAAUAAGCACCGGCUAACUACGUGCCAGCCGCCGCGGUAA